UAAAAUCAGAUAAACAAACCGAAUAUGACAGUUGAGCGACCGUGCUAGAACCACGGAACUCGGGAAUGCCUAACACCUUCUCCCGGGUUAACAGAAUUCUUUAUCCAGAUUUCUGGUUCGCAAACUAUAAUACAGAGUCAUUAUUUUCCUCGAUACGAGAUUAAAUUGGUGACUUGGGACACCUUAAACCUCCCUAGUGGCGACUCUGAAUAAAUAAAUAAAUCCCGUUUCGAUUGUCCUUUAAUUGAAAAAACUCCUUCACCCCUUGCGGGGACGGAAAAAGGAGGUGUGACAUUAGAUUUUAUAAAUUGUAAUCUAAGAGAGCAAAAAGCAAGAUAAAAGGGAAUAAGGAAAAGUGGCAACGUAAAUCCCCCUUUACUUCUUUUAUCUUUAUCUUACAUGAAAUUGAUGCUUAUGAUUUGCUAAACUGUUGGUUUGGACUGGUUAAAAACUGUGUUGAAGGUGUCGAGAUGUAGAACGGAAACUUGGGAAUGAAUGGAAGGUAGUUGGGAUGGUGUGAACAGCUGAAGCAAUGUGUUAAUUGUUGCCUUAACGUUGUUUGCUUGCCAGGUCUGGUGACAGCAAGCUUAAUCGCGAUCACAGGGCAUUGGCCGCGAUGCGGCCAAGCAUGAUUCUCUGGAGCAGUGUUUCAAGUACAAAAAGAUAAUGUGAAUUGCAAGAGGUUAGUCGAGCCUAGAUUAGAAUAACACGAACCUCGAUUGCAACACAUGCACCACAAUUGUGAUUGACCUUCACUCUUUGACCCCAGACGUAGCUAACAGUUUCAUCUAUUCCAAAUAUGCUUAUCAGAUCUGAAAUGAACUUAACUAACGAUAUGGUUAGUCAAAUGAGGGCAUGAACUUAUCCAGUUCAAAAAGGAACUCAGUAUGCUAUCUGAGGGAUCCUGUGAUAUUGAACUUAUUAAGUUGUGGGAUGAGUUAGACUCUCUUAACAAUAAUUCUUAUUGCAGCUGUGAUUGUCAAUAUGAUGGAAAGGUAAAAAUGAUUAAGGACAAGGAAACUCUGAAACUUAAUCAGUUCUUAAUUGGCCUUAAUGACUCUUAUAGUGGUACCAUAAGAAACAUAACUAUGAUGAAACCUACACCUAACAUCGGUCAAACUUGUUCUCUCCUACUUCAAGAUGAAAAAUCUGAAUCCAGACUCUUUCACACCAUGUUCCUGAAUCAGCUUCUUUCUCUGCUGGUUCCUCAUCAGAAGGGCAGACAAAUCCUCCCAAAACAAAUUUCUCUGGUCCUAAAGAAGUCUAUUACUGCAAAAAACCAGGCCAUACCAUUGAUAAAUACAAUAGAUUCCAUGGUUUGAGAAUGAUUCCUUAGGGGUCGUUUGGUAAGCAGGAUAAGGUGGGAUAAGAUAUGAGAUUAAAUUAUACUGUGUUUGGUUGACGGUAUAAAUUUAUCCCGGGAUCCCUUAGUGUUUAAGAAUUUUCACAAAGUUGGUAAAUUAAUUGAGAUAUGGUGGGAUGAACAAGUCAUGGAUAGUAAAUGUACUCAACACUUCGUAAAAUGUUAAAUUUAAUUUAGAGUUAUGGGAAGAAGAUUGGAGAUUAAAUUUGGAGUAAACAAGUGCUACUUGACUAUCCGUUUUUGGAUCCAACACUGGUAUCUCUUCCUAAUUAGUAUCCAAGUCUAAUCUAAAUACUUUAUCAUGUGAUUAAGUGCUCAAUUGGAGCAUGCCUUUGUUUGAGUGUCUAAAUGAUAUAUGUACGAGCAAAUUCAAGGGGAUGUUAAUGUAUUUUGCCUUCUCUGGAGGAAUAUAUGGAUAAUCGUUCAAGUUAGUACUCCCUCUGUUUCAAUUUAGAUGACACACUUUCCUUAUUAGUCCGCUCCAAAAAAAUGAUACAUUUCUACACUUUCUUUAUUAGUCCAUUCCAUGAUAGUUCAAUUUUAGUAAGAAUUAUCUAUUUAAAAACUCAGUGAACUCCUUUACGAUUUCCUAUUUUCGAAUGUGUUCGCUUGCUGGUACUCUACUCGAUUUUCCAUCUCUCUUGUCAUCUCCGCUAACUUUUAUGAGUCACCGUCUAUUGAUUAAUUGUGACACCACUUAUGAGAAAUUCUGUGUACGUACUACCUGCAUUUUUGUAAGAGGUUGUUUCCACUGCUUUGAGCUCCUGAUCACAUAGAGACAACUUUACAAGUUAUGUCAAGGCUCCCACUAUGGGCGGGGUUCAGGGAAGAGCGGGACCACAAAGGUCUAUUGUACGUAGUCUUACACAACACUUUUGCAAGAAGUUGUUUCCACUAGUCGAAUCGGUGACCUCUUGGUCAAAUGGCAUCAACUUUACCAGUUACAUCAAGGCUCCCGCUAUGCGACGGAUCCGAGAAAGGGCGGGAUCACAAGGUCUAUUGUUGACAGUCUUACCCUACAUUUUUUGCUAGAGGCGAUUUUCAAUAUUUGAAUCUGUGACCUUUUGGUCAUGUGUCAGCAACUUUACUAGUUACGCUAAGGCUCCCCUCCUUAAUAUUUUGAUUUAAUAUGUAUAAAUAUUGUAUGACGUACCGAUGAGUUGUUUGCUUCCCCUUUCUCUUUUUCUCCUCCAUUUUCUUUUCCUCUUUCCAUGUAUGCAAUUUUCACUAGUCAAGCCAAAGUUCAAGUUUUCAUGUCUGAUGUAUAAAAGGUAGACAAACCUUUAUUAGGAGAAGUAGAAAAACAAGAACAGAAGAAACUGAAGAAAGAAGCAUAAAGCAUAUAGCAGGAAAUAAUUUACUGCAGAUAUAGCCAGAGGGAUUCAGAAAGAAAGAUCUGUGAGAGAGAAGUAAAACUGGUUGGAUAAAGACAAAUUGAAAGGCUAACAUUAAAAAAGAAGAAUCAAAUAAAGAUAACUUUUCCUAAAUAUUGAACAAAUGACAACCACAACUGAGCAUACUCAUCGAAUAUGCUUAUUUUCUAAUGAAACCAUAUUCAUAUCCCUUUGAUUCCAAGAAAAAAUAGAAAGCUUAACAGCUAGUUAUUUACAGUUAACUAAAUAGAAAGCAGUUCUCGUAAGCAAACCAGUCAAAAGGAAACAAAUGCAGUCAAACAAAAUAAUUCAAAAAAAAAACAUGACACAAGAUCUGGAAAUUAGAAAGAUAAGUAAAGUUAGAACAUGACCUCUUUAAACUUCAACCUUUCCUCAUCCAAAAAACUUGACUUUUAACAACUUGAACAAGCAGAAACGGACAAGACCAUGAACCAGCCCUCAGACGGAGUAUCGAAACUCGCCGGCAAACUCGAAAACGGACAGAACGUCAACUGUGUUAGAACGGGGCAGAAGCAGGCUGUCUAGGUUGACUUUGGUGGUCGUUUCAGCUCGUUUUCCGGUGAGCUUCUAUGAACGAAAAGAAGCAGAAACAGCGAUGGGUGAAGGGGAGCAGGCUACCGUGACUGCGACGGGGAGGGACUGCUGAAGAUGUUGGAGAACAGGGGUGGUUUCCUUUAGUGAAGACGACUGAUUUCCAGCUCUUUUCUAGGUCUCUUAGGCUUGUUUUUUUGUUCCGUUUUUUUCUGAUUUGGGGACCAAAGAAGAUCGAAAAUGAUGGUCCUCUUAUUUUUUAGUUUUUCUAUCUAUCUUUCAUGUAUGUUGCCGCUGAUUUUAGGUCCCAAGAGUUCCUUUUGCUUGUAUUCUUUUUCUUCAUUCACCAGAUCAAGGAGAUCGUUUGGGAUGGGUUCUUCAUUUUCUGAAAACGGCGCUGCCUUCUUCAGCUGCUCUCCCCUUAGGCGUUAGUCUAGGUCCCGAUAUUUGUAGUCUAGGUUUAGGUUAUUU
rnacentral:lncRNA from 1 species